rnacentral:RNase_P_RNA from 1 species
CCAGUUGACUGAAUGAUCGCGCCAAUAUCAGGUGAGGAAAGUCCGGGCUUCACAGGGCAGGAUGCCAGAUAACGUCUGGCGGGAGAAAUCCCAGGACCAGUGCAACAGAAAUAUACCGCCGUAAGGUAAGGGUGAAAUGGCAGUGUAAGAGACUACCGCCUUGCUGGUAACAGGAAGGGCAUAUGUAAACUCCAUCCGAAGCAAGACCAAGCAGAAAGCGUUAAUAGGUUGCCCGCUGAGCUUUCAGGUGGGUCGCAAAGAUUUUACUGGUGACAGUAAAACAAGAUAGAUGAUCAUUCCAGACAGAACCCGGCUUAUAGGUCAGCUGAAAAA